rnacentral:piRNA from 1 species
UGAGUGUCAGAGCUGCGUUGGCAGUAACAGU